GCCGGGCGUGGUGGCGCGCACCUGUAGUCCCAGCUACUCGGGAGGCUGCGGUGGGAGGAUCGCUUGAGUCCAGGAGUUCUGGGCUGCAGUGCGCUAUGCCCAUUGGGUGUCCACACUAAGUUCGGCAUCAAAAUGGUGAUCUCCCGGGAGCGGGGGACCACCAGGUUGCCUAAGGAGGGGUGAACCGGCCCAGGUCGGAAAUAGAGCAGGUCAAAACUCCCGUGCUGAAAAGAAAGCCCCAAGACACCAUGUUCUAGAAUGGCAGCAACCUAGAGAAGUUGUUCCUCA
rnacentral:SRP_RNA from 1 species